AGAAUUCCCUCUGCUGGGCCAAGUUCCAAAAAUGUAGAGACAGACCCUCUAACCUGCUGUGGUGGAGUUUAAAGACUGACCCUCUAUGCUGUGAGAAAGGGGAAGCCCAGAGCUGGACACUGACAGACUGGAUCUUCACCAGUAGGAUUGAAGAGGAGCCAGACUCACUGCACCUCUGCCUCAAAACAUCUGCCUCAGACUGAAGCUAAAGACAGUGGCUCUGAAGCUCCCACACUGCACACUCUAUAAGAACAACCACCCGUCUAAUUGUUCUGUGGUGGUAAACACAAGUUAAGUUUGAGUUUGAACAGUAUGGUAUGGCUACACUCUGUCUCAUCUGUCCAGGCUUUU